AACUUUUAAAUUUUAAAAAUCAAAAUUAAAUUUUAAAAUUUUAAAAUCUCAAAUUUAUAAUUUUAAAAAAUUAAUUUAUCAUGAAUAUUAUUAGAUAAUCAUAAAUGUUAAUUAAUACAUUAAUUACCAGAUUAAUUAAUCAUUAAUCAAUUAACCAUGAGUACUGUUAAUUAAUAAAUUAUAUAACUAUAAAUAAUUUAAUAAGUUAACAAAUUAGGCUAAUAAAUUAAUAUAUUAGUAAAUUAAUUAAUUAAUUAAUUAUUUAAUUAGUUAUGUUGGUAAAAAUAUUAAUUUAUUAAUCAAUAAAGAUAUUAGUUAUUGCAUAAACACGCUAAUAAAUAAUUAUUAAUUUACCUAAUAUUUUAUUAUUAAAUUAGUUAAUUUUUAAUUUAGCUAAUUAGUUAAUAAAAUAAUAUAUAAUAUAUUAAUUAAUAAUAUUUUAUUAUUAAACAAGUAGAGGUAUAAAGAGAAAAAUUUGUUAUUCUACCGAAAGGGUGGAACAACAAAUCCCCCCUCUUAACGGGUUAUUCUAGAAUAACCCGUUAAGAGGGGGAUAAAAUAAACUCACUCCCUCUUAUAGCGUUUGGAUGAAUUAGAGGGAUAAAGUGGUCUAUUCCCACUUUAUCCCCCAACCAAACAAUACCUAAAGACUGUG
rnacentral:lncRNA from 1 species